rnacentral:rRNA from 1 species
UACGUAGGGUGCGAGCGUUGUCCGGAAUUAUUGGGCGUAAAGAGCUCGUAGGCGGCUUGUCGCGUCGACUGUGAAAUCCCGCGGCUCAACUGCGGGUCUGCAGUCGAUACGGGCAGGCUAGAGUUCGGUAGGGGAGACUGGAAUUCCUGGUGUAGCGGUGAAAUGCGCAGAUAUCAGGAGGAACACCGAUGGCGAAGGCAGGUCUCUGGGCCGAUACUGACGCUGAGGAGCAAAAGCGUGGGGAGCGAACAGG